rnacentral:rRNA from 1 species
AUUGAACGCUGGCGGCAGGCCUAACACAUGCAAGUCGAGCGGAUGAAGGGAGCUUGCUCCUGGAUUCAGCGGCGGACGGGUGAGUAAUGCCUAGGAAUCUGCCUGGUAGUGGGGGAUAACGUCCGGAAACGGGCGCUAAUACCGCAUACGUCCUGAGGGAGAAAGUGGGGGUCCUCCGACCUCACCGUAACCAAUUAAGCUAGGUCGGAUUAGCUAGUUGGUGGGGUAAAGGCCUACCAAGGCGACGAUCCGUAACUGGUCUGAGAGGAUGAUCAGUCACACUGGAACUGAGACACGGUCCAGACCCCUACGGGAGGCAGCAGUGGGGAAUAUUGGACAAUGGGCGAAAGCCUGAUCCAGCCAUGCCGCGUGUGUGAAGAAGGUCUUCGGAUUGUAAAGCACUUUAAGUUGGGAGGAAGGGCAGUAAGUUAAUACCUUGCUGUUUUGACGUUACCAACAGAAUAAGCACCGGCUAACUUCGUG